ensembl:lncRNA
CUCUUUGUUGCAUUGCAUUUGGACUAUGCUCUAGCUAUCAUCUGUGUCCUUACUAAAGCAUUUCCUGCUUUGUAAGUGUCAGUGUAUUCUUGUGUAUUAGUAUCCGUGACUCUGCAAUGCAGUGUGAGCAGUGGGGUGAUGAUCAAAACCCAUGGAUUGUGUCAUUUUGGGUGAAGAACAGUACACCUGUGACCCGGCUGUGCUCAGGCAGCCAUGGGUAUGGAGUAAUGAUAACAAAAAGAUAGCCUCCAGAUACUCAUCACAUGCCAACAGGAUUACGGAGCAUAAACAUUCAACACAGCUUCUUAUUUCAUCAAGCUGAACCUGCUGAUGAAGACUUCUUCCUACAGCUAUGGGAGGCAUUGCAAUUGCAGGCUCUUCUCCUGCUGGGAGACUUCAACCACCCUAACAUCUCCUGGAAAAGUAGCACAGCAAGCUGUAGGCAAUCCAGAACUCUCCAGGAAUCUAUCAAGGAUAACCUCUUGAACCAAGUAAAAGACAGGGAAUUGGAUAGGAUGACCUUUAAAGAUCUGUUCCAACUCAAACAAUUAUAUGGUUCUAUGAUUAUAUGUUUAACACCUCAAUUCUUUUACAACUAUUUUGCACCUUAUCGAUUGCAGAUUAACAGUAGGAGUUCUCCUUUUAUUGAUAUAUUUUCCUGUCUCAACUUUAUGAACCAGUAUGAAAUUCUCCCAUUUACAUCUCUUGUGUGGUGUCCUUUGCACUUGUUUUACUAUAACAGAUUGCAUUUCUCUAACUUCCAGAUCAAGUUAACUGAAGCUACGUGUAUAUUUCUGUGUAUUAAAUCCUAAUUCCCUUUUUGUAUUACAUUUACUACAUUUUCUAUAUCUUUAUCAAAUUAGCAAUCUGAUUGAAGAUUCUGUCAUCAGCUUAAUUUUCUAAAGUGCUGUUAAACAUGACACAUUUGUUUUGUCUCUAUACUUGAGUUUCAGUUCACAGAAAACUUUAACUCUCUAUUUGUUCUCUAUUAUAUUCACAUUACAUCUUUAAGAAGAAAUUAUGAAAAAUAACAGUGAAUACUGUUGAUUAUAAAGAAGUUGUUCCUAAUGACUCUCUACAAGGACAUAUUUACAGAUUACUCAAGCUGUAGACACCUCAAGUGGGCUGUAAUGUAAGAAUCACAUCAUCUGACAUUUGACGCUACUAUGGUACCUAUAAUAUCAACUUCAUCAUACACGGAAGUGUGUAUAGUAAGUCUUCUAGCAAAACUUCCUGGUUUAUAAUCAGUAAAAAGAAUGAACUGCCUCUGAAGAAGGUUCAGCACACCUGAGUUAGUCCUGACUCUGAGUCAUCUAUUAAAUUAUAUUUCUAAAAUUAGUUAGGGUAAAUACUAAGAGCAAGAUUUCCAGAAGAUGACUGUAUUUGCAAACAUUUACAGAAUAUUUAAGGCUCUCAGAGAGGUCUGAAGGCUAUGAGAACAUAAUCUGAAAAGAGAACAAGAUAGAUUAUUCUAAAGAAGACAGUCUCAUUAUAUUCUGCUAGUAGUGGAUGAGGGAAAAAAAAAAACAAAAAACAGUCUUCAUACCUGCCAUCUCUAAUACUUUCAAGUGAGAAUAACAAACUAAAUAUUUGAUACUUCCAAGAUUCAUUAGUGAAGGAGAUCUUAAUUAAAAUCUGUACAAAAUAUUUCAACAGAAAAAUGUCAACAUUUUCAUUUGUCUCUCUUGAAUUGAUUGUGCUCACAUACAGGAAAUGUCAGAAUUUCUCAAUAUAAAUGUAUAAAUAUUGACAACUUUCAGGGUUCUUUUGCACUGUACACCUAAAAAAGGUGAAUGUCAGUGACUUCAUGAGUCUUGAGCAAGACUAGAGGGACUUUCUCAUCUCUGAUGUGUAACUUCGCAAAGCUGUAAUUUUUACAAAAUUUGUCAGAUGGAUAAUAUUUUUUCAUAAACUGAAGUAUGUUAAAGAAUGACAGGCCUUUCAUAUUUUAUGAUACCUUAAUGAUAACUGCACUGAGCGCUGAAUAAGGAUAGCAUUAAUAAAUACUUAUCCAUCACUAUUAUUAGGAAACACUUUUGCAAAAUAAAUAUGUAUGUCUAAUUAGCACUUUGAAAAUUGAUGAAUGUAUGUAAUGUUGAAACAGAAUGAUUAUUUCUUUCCAUAAGAUUAUGAAUAUUUACUUACACGUAGAAAGAAGAAACUACUUAUAGAUCAAAGAUGAGCUAGCAACUCUCACAGAAAAACUGUCAGAUUUACAAUUUUUUUGGCAUUUAAUAUAUAUUUUUUUUUCCUGAAGACAUUCUUUUAAGUCAGAAUUUUGUAAAAAAUUUUCUGACCUUGUGACUGAAGAGCAGAGCCUGAACAUCACAAGCUUUGGAUAUACCUUACAGAUUCAAAAUUGAAGUGAAGGCAAAGUAUCUUUCAUUUAUUUGGUCUUUAUCAUUCUAAAGUUAUCCUUUCUGGCUGGCAUUAACACAGCAUAUUCAUGUCCCCUAAGGCAAAACUACCAACAAUGACAAUUUGUCUGGCUGCAUGGCUUCAAUUUUGAAUCUGUAUAUCUACAGUCAGAAUUUGAAGUAGACUAAGAGCCUGCUUCAGAAUUUAGGGGGAAUAAGGCUCAUGGGUGAACACUGCAGGCCAUUUAGAGUACCAGGUCCAGAAAGUAGGUUCAGAUGUUCUGGAUAUGAACAGAUGAGUAGAUGGGGUAGCAAGAACAAGAGCCUUGCAUUUUGCCUUUGCUACCCAGCAGACCUGGAUGUGCUGAGCAGGUUCUGAUAAUGUGUUGGUGGGAUCUCAUAGUCUAAUAAUCUUUAAAAAGAAUAAUCUCUUUAAAGAAAUUUUUUCUUCUAUGCAUGAAACUGUAGCUUUCUGGAUAUGGUGCAGGCAGCCACAGUGGGAGAAGAGGCUGAUAUAUAUUCAUUUUAUUAUUCAAAUUCACACAGUUUGUGCUUUGUUUUUAAGAUAUGUCAUGUUUUAUCUCAUGUCUUUAAGACACAUUUGUUAGUGAGAUAUUAUGUAAAAGAAAAAUUUGAAAUUCAGUCAAAGUGAAAGGUGCUUUGGAAAGCUAUGCUGACACGCAUAGCAGGCAUGUUUAGAAAUGAUUCUAAUUUGAAUAGAUUGUCUAGAUAUUGCAUCAAUAAAAGUAACACUAAGGAGACAGAAUGAUGAUACUUUGUCAAGCUUCAGGAAAAAAAAAUGCAAUCAAACUGUUUCCCAAGACUAUCAAUUGUACACAAAGAUAUUAAUUGACCAUAAAACAGUUUUUUUAUUUCCUAAACUCUUGUCUUAACAUUUCCUAAAUUAACUGUACUGAGGAGCUACAAAGUUUGUAGCUCAUUUAUUUUGGGAAAAACAUUUUGUAAAAUGCUACUGAAGUCUGCAUUCUUUAUCACACUCUUAUAAAUGGCCACAUUCAGUGUGACUUCAAAACUGGGGGAGUAUUAUUCCUUGUUCAUGGUCUUUAUUACUCUCUCUCUCUUACAAUCUCUUUCAUUAUAUAUAUGCUCACAUAGAUACUUACACAGGUAUAUAUAUAUGUACAUAAAUAUGUAUGUGUAUGUAUUCAUUUGUGCAAAUAUGUAUAUACCUUCUUCACAUACGUAUCAAAUAUAGGGGAAAUAUUUAAGAAAAAGUCCAGAUAAGAGUAGCAAAUAUAGAGCAAAUACAUCAAAUAAUGAAAGAAGUCAUCUACUAGAUGACAGUGAGUUAGACUACCAACUCAUAGGCGAUGUAUUGUAUGUGAAUCCUUUCAUCUAAUAUUUGUAAGCUCACAGCAGGCUCAUUCUCUAGUCCAUUGCAGAAUGUUUUUAUUUAUUCACAAAGACUCAAAAAAAAAAAAAAAAAAGUAAAAAAAAAGUGUUGUUAGUAUCAAAGGAAAAUAUUGUUAGAUAUGAUUUGUUAUACAGUUCCUCUCACAUGCCAAGCAUUAAGAUCUUUUAAAAGGGUUUGUUACCACACAGAAGAUAUAAGGAACACUUCUUCCUCUAAGAAAAUCAGACUUGAAAAUUUAAGAUUUUACGGUCCAUUAACCUGCUAUUAAAGACAAACGACAGGAUUUCUUUCUGAAAUGAACUUUUCAUUGUACAAGAACUAAAGCUACAGUAACAGAAGAGAGAAAAGAGGAGGAGAAAAAAAAGGCCCAAGCAAUAAAAUGAGGCCCACAAUGUGAUUCUUAUCAAAGUCCAUGCCAUUAAAGAAAUGAAAUUGCAGCAAUACAAAGUUGUAGAUACUGAUUAUGUGUAAUGGUGCAGAACCAGGUUGCAUCAGCAUUGAAUUUCAGGCAGUUCACAUUCCAUUUUACCUGCAUUUCUGGAAAGUUGAGCCAGAGUCAACUCCCAGUAAGGAUGCAGUUGAUCACAGUGUUACAUAAAGUCAAACUGACAGAUAAGAGAAAGCAAAAGGUUCUAGGUCAUGUCUCUGCUGGGUUUUAAUUCAUUCUCAUUAGGAACAAUAAUGGACCGAAGUGCUUGUUAGAUUCUAAAACUGAGAAGCAUAUUUAUGGAAUAUGGUCACAUUGUUUGCUUAGGUAGAAGAAAGUCAAGUAAAAUACUUUUUUAUUAAUUUCAUUAAGAAAUAUCUGUCCAAAAAGAGUUCUUCUAGCGUUAAGUAACAUAUUAUCUAGGGAAGGUGAACAUGGCAUGAUAAGCAUAUAAUCAGGUGUGCUGUCUCUUUUAAUUGGGUUCAUUUCAGAAUGAGCAACAAGCAUUAGGAUGCUUUAAUUCUAUUCAUUUUAGUGAGAGCAAUAAACAUUAGGAGGUCCUUUAGUACCUUUCUCUGAAGAGGCCCACUUGACUAAAUUUGGUAUAAUUUAAACAGGAGUAACUGGAUACAAGAUUUAUUUAACCCUUUGCCUGACAAACUGUUCAUUUUAAAGUUAUCUCCGUAAAAGAAAACACUAAGUGCAUUAACGAAAAUUAGUAUUAGUUGUCAUUCUAGAUGUGAUACCGUAGCACCAAACAUAGCACAGAAGCAAUACCUCCUUUAGGGUUUAAGUUAGCAGUUGCACAGAUCUUAAAAUAUUCUGCAUAUCUAUAGGUCAGAGACAAAAUCACAAGUAGGUGAAAAUUAGUGUCUCCAUAUGUGUUGUACAAUAAGUCAUGACAAAACAGAUUACACAGAGUUUGAUGUUGACACGAUCUAUUUUGAAUAUAUGAAACUAUUCUUCCCAUUUCAUCCUCAGGCAUUUGUGGUGGCUUGACCUUAGCCAGCAGUGAAACACCUGCACGCCCCCUCAUUCAUUAUCCACCCCAGUGGAACAGGAGAAAAUGAGAAGAGUGAAAGGGAGAAAAACUGUGGAAAGAGAUAGAGACAAUUUAAUACGUGAAGGAAAUAGAUUUAAAAAAAAAAGCACAUGGUACCAAGGCAAUCUCUCACUACCCCUCAAAUAGCAUACAAAUGCCCAGAAAAGCUCAGAACAAAUGCUACCUUGGAAAACACCCCACCACCCCCAACUCAGUUUUUAUUGCUGAGCAUGGUGCUACACUAUACAGAAUAGACUUUUGGCCUUUGACCUACAUUUACCCAGUGUAACAUCAUGUUAUGCUGAAUUAUGUUAUUUUAAAGUGUUCUACUGUUGACAGAGAUUUAUUAUGGACACAGUUUAGCUCCUGUUGAAGUUAAUUUUUAAUUUUCAGGGAUUACAGCUGUACCGUGACCUAGUGUGCUACAAUUUAAGAAUAUCUUACUAUUUCUAUUGUCAAAAAUGCCAAACAGCUGUUCUAUCUUUCCAUGUAAUGGAUAUGGUAUUUCAUGUUUAACAUAAUGUACUCAAUAGGUGCCUGGUAGAGUUAAUCUUCUUAAAGUUAAUGAGAAUCUUCUCAUCAGUUUCCCUGGGAUCCGAUUUUAAUCCUGCAUCCUUUUAUUCCUUAUUUUCAGUUCAGAGUGCAGUAAUAUAACUUGGUCAAACAGCCUCUAUCUAUUUUUCUAUCAAUUAAUUCAAUCCAUCUGGCCUUUAUUAACAUAAUACCUCAGCACAUCACAAUAUUACAUGAAUGUUAUUUUUAAAAUGUGGCUGGAGUUCAACUAAGAACAAUAUCCUGCUUCUACUUUUAUACUUUUUUCUCCUAGGUCAGGAAUUUUCAACCCAUUUUACAGGGAUUUGGAAAUGUCUGUAUCCCUGAAAGUGUGUUGGUCUUUUUUUUUUUCUUUCUUUCAUUUAUGUUUGAGCCAUUUUUGUUAAAUAUGCAUAUACUACUUGACUAUAUUCCUCCAAGAAUAAAUCUGUGUUCUCUCUCAUGCUGUGACUGCUGACUCUUAGCUUCUUAUUUCUAGGAAAGCAUGUGAAAUCAUGUUGGUACACAUUAGUAUAUAUAACAUCUCUAAACAAACAUUUUAACUCAAGUGGACUGUGUAUCCUUAGAAAGAAUACAUAUCUCAGUACGCUGUGAUAAACUGUUCAAUAAAAUAAAUUAAUAAUGAAACCCCUCUUUUCAGUCUAGGCUGCUAUUUUGCCAUAGAUUUUAUUGGUCUGAAUUCUUGGCAGAGAAAUUGUCCCACAGGCCACAUAAGGGGUACAUGAUAUAAUUCAGCACAGCAUAACUAUAAAUGACCAGAAUAGAGUCCAAAAUGUCUGCUAAGUUCAAUAUCUUAUUUAUGUUUCAUUCAGAGAUGAGGACACUUUGGAAUUGAUCUAGGCAGAACGUUGGGUUCACACUACAGCUGGAACUAUACAUGUGAGAGAGGGUAUGUGGUGCAGAAGCAUUUUCCAGCAAUUAAUGCACUCAACAUAAUUAUUUCAAUGGAAGUAUAUUUAUUUUUAAAAAUUCUUCAUGUACUCAUAUGUGCUAGACGAUUGUAGGUAUAGAUGUUAUCCAUUUUAUCUUAAUUGUAAAUGUAUUUUUUAUUCAUUAUAGAGUUGAGUGGAAGGUUAACACUACUGAAAGAGUGGUUACUGAGCAGGAGCUUUUGUGUAAAUAAUCUGACUGCUGGACUUCGUUAACAGGUUCUCUCCCUUUUCUUCAGUGCCAUACGUUUCAGAGCAUGAUCUGUUUAUUGCUUAUAAGCGCAUAUAGACAUAUGCAGAAUAUGCACACGUGGCUUGUACAAUACAUAAUUUGAGUUGUUCUAGUUUAUA